rnacentral:rRNA from 1 species
GACGAACGCUGGCGGCGUGCUUAACACAUGCAAGUCGAACGGAAAGGCCCUGCUUUUGUGGGGUGCUCGAGUGGCGAACGGGUGAGUAACACGUGAGUAACCUGCCCUUGACUUUGGGAUAACUUCAGGAAACUGGGGCUAAUACCGGAUAGGAGCUCCUGCUGCAUGGUGGGGGUUGGAAAGUUUCGGCGGUUGGGGAUGGACUCGCGGCUUAUCAGCUUGUUGGUGGGGUAGUGGCUUACCAAGGCUUUGACGGGUAGCCGGCCUGAGAGGGUGACCGGCCACAUUGGGACUAAGAUACGGCCCAGACUCCUACGGGAGGCAGCAGUGGGGAGUAUUGCGCAAUGGGCGGAAGCCUGAUGCAGCAACGCCGCGUGCGGGAUGACGGCCUUCGGGUUGUAAACCGCUUUCGCCUGUGACGAAGCGUGAGUGACGGUAAUGGGUAAAGAAGCACCGGCUAACUACGUG